rnacentral:lncRNA from 1 species
GCGAGGAUGCAGAAUUCAUGACUUUCCCAUUUCCCGCUCCUCCAAUGUAUGCUCCAUAUCCACCGCAAUUUCCGCCCCCCUACAGAGGUGGCCCGACCAUAUGAGCCAGUCAACGCGGAUGAUGAUGGCGAGGAUGAUGAUAAUUUUGAGUUGUUUGGCGUGGAUGGGGAUUUCAAAGGCGGUAAUGAUGACCACGGAGGCGAUGCUCCUGAUGCUAGAGGCUAGUUCAACAGAGGCCAGUGAGGACACGGGCCACUAUUCAAGUUUGGGGGAGAUUUUAUUUUGUUUGAUUAAUAUAUAUGAAUUGUGUUAGGAUUAUCUUAUGUCUAUUUAAAACUGCUGUGUAGGAUUGUAUUUGGGCUUGAUAGCCCUAGACUAAUGUUUAAGCUUUUAUCUAUCUAUUGUGUUAUUUUAGUGAAUAUCUUUUGGUUUUGGAUGCAUGCUUUUAUUUAUCUUGGAUGCAUGUCUUUGCUUAGUCAUAUUCUAUGUUUCUUUUAUUAUAUGAUUUUGGUUGUAUAUAUAUUUUUUUGCUUGGGAAUAUCUCGACUAAGUCAGAUAUUGUCUCGCCUUAAGCCUAAUUUUUGGGUCUUUCACUGAUUAAUUGGUAUACUCGAUGCCAUGCAUUGUGGCUUUCCCCGAAGGGUACUCUAUAGUUUGUAGUGUUGUUUUUGCCCUUGGUCAGACUGUCUUGUAAUUUUAUCGAUUUCCUAAGCUAGUGGAAAAGUUAUGCGGCUUUGGGGGGCCUGUGUGUUUGAUUUAACUCAAGACUGUCUUGGAUCCAUCCGUUUAACGAGCAC